CAACUCGCCUGCACGAAGCCGGAGUUGCUAGUAAUCGCGGAUCAGAAUGCCGCGGUGAAUGCGUUCCCGGGUCUUGUACACACCGCCCGUCACACCAUGGAAGGUUGGGGGUGCCCAAAGCCGGCAGGGAAAUAUGCUGUCUAAGGCAAAACCAGUGACUGGGGUGAAGUCGUAACAAGGUAAC
rnacentral:rRNA from 1 species